rnacentral:rRNA from 1 species
UACGGAGGGGGCAAGCGUUGUUCGGAAUUACUGGGCGUAAAGGGCGCGCAGGCGGCUGCUCAAGUCAGGCGUGAAAGGCCUGGGCUCAACCCGGGAAUUGCGCUUGAGACUGGGCUGGCUUGAGUGCGGGAGAGGAUGGUGGAAUUCCCAGUGUAGAGGUGAAAUUCGUAGAUAUUGGGAAGAACACCGGUGGCGAAGGCGGCUUCCUGGACCAGUACCGACGUUCAGGCACGAAAGCGUGGGGAGCAAACAGG